UUUUUUAUCUACUCUGUUCAGUGAAAUUCAUCAAAAUGUUUCUGCCAUAAGCUCAAAUAUUGAAAUGUGUGUCUCUGUUUUUGUUUCCGUUUUAAAGUACUCAAAAUGAACGAGGUCCCUUCUCCCGCUGGAGGCAUCCACCACCACCAGCAGCAGUUCCACCUGAGGACCUUCGCGGGCGUCAUUGCUGGAGCAACGUGU